rnacentral:rRNA from 1 species
ACGUAGGUGGCAAGCGUUAUCCGGAAUUAUUGGGCGUAAAGCGCGCGCAGGCGGUCUCUUAAGUCUGAUGUGAAAGCCCACGGCUCAACCGUGGAGGGUCAUUGGAAACUGGGAGACUUGAGUGCAGGAGAGAAAAGUGGAAUUCCACGUGUAGCGGUGAAAUGCGUAGAGAUGUGGAGGAACACCAGUGGCGAAGGCGGCUUUUUGGCCUGCAACUGACGCUGAGGCGCGAAAGCGUGGGGAGCAAACAG